CAAACUCAAUCUGCAACAACACUGCUGGGAGUUACAAUUGCUUGUGUAUGAGUGGAUAUAAUGUAACAGACCCGAACCUUCAUAUAAACAUCAGCAACCCAUGCACAGAUGUGAAUGAAUGUGAUGAGAUUCCAGAGAUCUGUGGUCCAAACUCAAUCUGCAAAAACACUGUUGGGAGUUACAAUUGCUCGUGUAUGAGUGGAUAUAAUGUAACAGACCUGAACCUCCCAAUAAACAUCAGUAACCCAUGCACAGAUGUAAAUGAAUGUGAUGAGAUACCUGAGGUCUGUGGUCCAAACUCAAUCUGCAACAACACUGAUGGGAGUUACAAAUGCUCGUGUAUGAGUGGAUAUAAUGUUACAGAUCCAAACCUC